UUAAUCAGCAAAUAACAACUUACUCUAACCUCUUCCUAAACUUAACCAAUUCAAAAAUGGACUAUCUCAAACUGAGGGUCCUAACCCUAAAAUUGAUCUACGCCAGUUAAAUUACUGGGGGAUGGCCGUGGGGAUCCGGGAGGAAGGUGACCGGGCUCAAGGCCCAUCGGGGUCCCUCUCAUGCUCACAUGCUCGGCCCAUAGCCCUCUAGCCCCAACCGCUGCCCCUGAACGCUUUUUCGCUACAUAUUAUCGCAAGCUAAGACCUAGACCUCAGUGGAAGAGUCAAAGACGGGCACUUGCAGGGAGUCGGUGCUGGUAGUCCGAAGGCCAUCCAAGCGGGAUGUAGUUGCCGGACCAGACCGUGAAAUUUAAUUGGAUAUUAGAUCAGGCGAACAGGACCAGUAUGGAGGGUGUUGUUGGUUGUGGGUUGGGUCAAGGAAGAAGGGGGUAGAGGGGGUUUCCCGCUGGCUCCUUUGUGGUCCGGACACCUCACCCUUCCCAGGACCUAACCAUAACCACUCGCCCCGGGAACUUAUGCAGUCGUAGAAUCGGUGCAUCACCUCCAAAAUAGGGUACCGUAGAGCCCAAAAUGAGGACUAAAAUAAGGGAUGGACAACUUAUCCAGCAUGGUCAAACCAGCGUUUCCAAGAGGAGAAACGCUGGGUCGGAUAAACUUAACCAAUUUGAAAAUGGACUAUCUCAAACCGAGGGUCCUAAUCCUAAAAUUGAUAUUUGGAAUACUUACCUGUUUGGAUUUAAAAACAAGAGCUGACGUCAUCGCAAAAGGAUGGUGAAGAACCGCCUCCCCAAAAAACUAAGAUCAGCCAUUGGAUCAUUGACCCGGAAGCGUAGUCACGUGGUCUAAAAAUAAAAGUAGGCGGAGACUCGGCCGCCCCCACCAUUUUGCCCAGCUGCUCGACGAGAGAGAAAAACAUCUCCUUAGCCGCUGAAGCCAACAUAAACAGUAAGACGGUUAAUUAACCACUUCACUAAUAAUAAUUAUUCGCUUCUUUACUUAUUUUUCAUGGUGCCCAAGCCUGAGGAAGACCCUAGAAGGUCGAAACGUCGCGACGGGCACUUUAUAGCGCUUCCUUUUUUUUCCUUUUUUUCUCCGUUUGGAAAUGACCUCAUUUGGUUACUUCUCGCCACUAGAGGGCAAUACAGCCCCGUACAUUACACAGGACACACAUAGGCCAAGAAGGGCACUCACACAAAAAGACAACACGUCGUUCUUUCUCUCUCUUUUUUCUUUCUUUAAUCAAAAACCAAGACUAAGAAAAGUGGAUAACAGUAAUAAAAAUAAGAAUACAUUUAUAGAAAAGAAAAACACAAAACAGCCUAAACAAAGGAGGUGACUCAAAAAAAGCAAAAACGUGCUGAAUAAAUAAAUAAAUAAAUAAACAACAAACCAAAAACAGCGUAAACAAAGGAGGUGACUCAAAAAAAAGCAAAAACGUGCCGAAUAAACAAGUCAAUAAACAACAAACCAAGCUUGGGAAUGAUGAAAGGACAAGUGGUUCGCUGUGGGCGAAGACACGCCCGGACUGACCCUAAAGCCAAGAGGUGCAGAUUCGGGGACCAACCGCCUCGGCACCGGGAGGGACGAGAACACUGGGGGAUGGACUGUGCAUUACCUCCUCCCAACAUAACGGGAGGAGAGAUCUUAUCGCUCGCCCUAACCAGCCCGUGCCUCUCCUGGUGUCCACGUUCUCGUUCUGACCGGUCCGGGGCCCGGUUUGGUCCCCCACUCCGCUCUGAUUCGUCGGUAGUCCAAACUGGACGCCCUAAAAAUAACAAAACACAUGGUGGAGAAUUCAACCUCCUAGACAAUUUAUAUCACCGAGUCCGAAUGCGCAGAACUUAUGCAGUCGUAGAAUCGGUGCAUCACCUCCAAAAUAGGGUACCGUAGAGCCCAAAAUGAGGACUAAAAUAAAGGAUGGACAACUUAUCCAGCAUGGUCAAACCAGCGUUUCCAAGAGGAGAAACGCUGGGUCGGAUCAUGGACAAUGCCAAAGGUUGGGGAACCGGGACGGAAGCCCAGCAGACCGACAGGAGGCUGAGUCGGCGAUCGCAACACCCGCAUCGGAAUCGACCGCGAGGGACGAGGAGAACACAAAUACAGUGACCUCGCUGCCAGUCUCAAAACCAGCUUCAGCUGCACAGCAGCAGGACAUCACGACGGCUGCGCCGACAUCGGAGGCCUCUCCCUCCACUGCCGCGAGGGGGGAUGGGAGUCCCCGAUCCGGUGCAACCCAGGACAACCCAACCACCGCCACAGUGGACUUUGACCCGCAAUAGACGGGGGAUGACAGCUACGGAAAAGACUGAGACGAUUGGAAUUGCCAGGUGAGAGCCCUCACGCAAAAAAACAUUGACUCCUACCUUUUUCGUUCCUUAAAGGGAUGCUACCCGAGCCAAGCCACGACAACCAAUCCUCAAAAAAAGUCCAAAGACAUUUGAGAAAGAAACAGUCUAACAACUAAUCCUAAACCUCUUCCUAAACUUAACCAAUCUCGAGUAUGAGCCCUAACCAUAAUCUUGGUCCCAGCGCCGAUUUUAGGCCUUUGUCGAAGCUUAAUCAGCAAAUAACAACUUACUCUAACCUCUUCCUAAACUUAACCAAUUCAAAAAUGGACUAUCUCAAACUGAGGGUCCUAACCCUAAAAUUGAUCUACGCCAGUUAAAUUACUGGGGGAUGGCCGUGGGGAUCCGGGAGGAAGGUGACCGGGCUCAAGGCCCAUCGGGGUCCCUCUCAUGCUCACAUGCUCGGCCCAUAGCCCUCUAGCCCCAACCGCUGCCCCUGAACGCUUUUUCGCUACAUAUUAUCGCAAGCUAAGACCUAGACCUCAGUGGAAGAGUCAAAGACGGGCACUUGCAGGGAGUCGGUGCUGGUAGUCCGAAGGCCAUCCAAGCGGGAUGUAGUUGCCGGACCAGACCGUGAAAUUUAAUUGGAUAUUAGAUCAGGCGAACAGGACCAGUAUGGAGGGUGUUGUUGGUUGUGGGUUGGGUCAAGGAAGAAGGGGGUAGAGGGGGUUUCCCGCUGGCUCCUUUGUGGUCCGGACACCUCACCCUUCCCAGGACCUAACCAUAACCACUCGCCCCGGGAACUUAUGCAGUCGUAGAAUCGGUGCAUCACCUCCAAAAUAGGGUACCGUAGAGCCCAAAAUGAGGACUAAAAUAAGGGAUGGACAACUUAUCCAGCAUGGUCAAACCAGCGUUUCCAAGAGGAGAAACGCUGGGUCGGAUAAACUUAACCAAUUUGAAAAUGGACUAUCUCAAACCGAGGGUCCUAAUCCUAAAAUUGAUAUUUGGAAUACUUACCUGUUUGGAUUUAAAAACAAGAGCUGACGUCAUCGCAAAAGGAUGGUGAAGAACCGCCUCCCCAAAAAACUAAGAUCAGCCAUUGGAUCAUUGACCCGGAAGCGUAGUCACGUGGUCUAAAAAUAAAAGUAGGCGGAGACUCGGCCGCCCCCACCAUUUUGCCCAGCUGCUCGACGAGAGAGAAAAACAUCUCCUUAGCCGCUGAAGCCAACAUAAACAGUAAGACGGUUAAUUAACCACUUCACUAAUAAUAAUUAUUCGCUUCUUUACUUAUUUUUCAUGGUGCCCAAGCCUGAGGAAGACCCUAGAAGGUCGAAACGUCGCGACGGGCACUUUAUAGCGCUUCCUUUUUUUUCCUUUUUUUCUCCGUUUGGAAAUGACCUCAUUUGGUUACUUCUCGCCACUAGAGGGCAAUACAGCCCCGUACAUUACACAGGACACACAUAGGCCAAGAAGGGCACUCACACAAAAAGACAACACGUCGUUCUUUCUCUCUCUUUUUUCUUUCUUUAAUCAAAAACCAAGACUAAGAAAAGUGGAUAACAGUAAUAAAAAUAAGAAUACAUUUAUAGAAAAGAAAAACACAAAACAGCCUAAACAAAGGAGGUGACUCAAAAAAAGCAAAAACGUGCUGAAUAAAUAAAUAAAUAAAUAAACAACAAACCAAAAACAGCGUAAACAAAGGAGGUGACUCAAAAAAAAGCAAAAACGUGCCGAAUAAACAAGUCAAUAAACAACAAACCAAGCUUGGGAAUGAUGAAAGGACAAGUGGUUCGCUGUGGGCGAAGACACGCCCGGACUGACCCUAAAGCCAAGAGGUGCAGAUUCGGGGACCAACCGCCUCGGCACCGGGAGGGACGAGAACACUGGGGGAUGGACUGUGCAUUACCUCCUCCCAACAUAACGGGAGGAGAGAUCUUAUCGCUCGCCCUAACCAGCCCGUGCCUCUCCUGGUGUCCACGUUCUCGUUCUGACCGGUCCGGGGCCCGGUUUGGUCCCCCACUCCGCUCUGAUUCGUCGGUAGUCCAAACUGGACGCCCUAAAAAUAACAAAACACAUGGUGGAGAAUUCAACCUCCUAGACAAUUUAUAUCACCGAGUCCGAAUGCGCAGAACUUAUGCAGUCGUAGAAUCGGUGCAUCACCUCCAAAAUAGGGUACCGUAGAGCCCAAAAUGAGGACUAAAAUAAAGGAUGGACAACUUAUCCAGCAUGGUCAAACCAGCGUUUCCAAGAGGAGAAACGCUGGGUCGGAUCAUGGACAAUGCCAAAGGUUGGGGAACCGGGACGGAAGCCCAGCAGACCGACAGGAGGCUGAGUCGGCGAUCGCAACACCCGCAUCGGAAUCGACCGCGAGGGACGAGGAGAACACAAAUACAGUGACCUCGCUGCCAGUCUCAAAACCAGCUUCAGCUGCACAGCAGCAGGACAUCACGACGGCUGCGCCGACAUCGGAGGCCUCUCCCUCCACUGCCGCGAGGGGGGAUGGGAGUCCCCGAUCCGGUGCAACCCAGGACAACCCAACCACCGCCACAGUGGACUUUGACCCGCAAUAGACGGGGGAUGACAGCUACGGAAAAGACUGAGACGAUUGGAAUUGCCAGGUGAGAGCCCUCACGCAAAAAAACAUUGACUCCUACCUUUUUCGUUCCUUAAAGGGAUGCUACCCGAGCCAAGCCACGACAACCAAUCCUCAAAAAAAGUCCAAAGACAUUUGAGAAAGAAACAGUCUAACAACUAAUCCUAAACCUCUUCCUAAACUUAACCAAUCUCGAGUAUGAGCCCUAACCAUAAUCUUGGUCCCAGCGCCGAUUUUAGGCCUUUGUCGAAGCUUAAUCAGCAAAUAACAACUUACUCUAACCUCUUCCUAAACUUAACCAAUUCAAAAAUGGACUAUCUCAAACUGAGGGUCCUAACCCUAAAAUUGAUCUACGCCAGUUAAAUUACUGGGGGAUGGCCGUGGGGAUCCGGGAGGAAGGUGACCGGGCUCAAGGCCCAUCGGGGUCCCUCUCAUGCUCACAUGCUCGGCCCAUAGCCCUCUAGCCCCAACCGCUGCCCCUGAACGCUUUUUCGCUACAUAUUAUCGCAAGCUAAGACCUAGACCUCAGUGGAAGAGUCAAAGACGGGCACUUGCAGGGAGUCGGUGCUGGUAGUCCGAAGGCCAUCCAAGCGGGAUGUAGUUGCCGGACCAGACCGUGAAAUUUAAUUGGAUAUUAGAUCAGGCGAACAGGACCAGUAUGGAGGGUGUUGUUGGUUGUGGGUUGGGUCAAGGAAGAAGGGGGUAGAGGGGGUUUCCCGCUGGCUCCUUUGUGGUCCGGACACCUCACCCUUCCCAGGACCUAACCAUAACCACUCGCCCCGGGAACUUAUGCAGUCGUAGAAUCGGUGCAUCACCUCCAAAAUAGGGUACCGUAGAGCCCAAAAUGAGGACUAAAAUAAGGGAUGGACAACUUAUCCAGCAUGGUCAAACCAGCGUUUCCAAGAGGAGAAACGCUGGGUCGGAUAAACUUAACCAAUUUGAAAAUGGACUAUCUCAAACCGAGGGUCCUAAUCCUAAAAUUGAUAUUUGGAAUACUUACCUGUUUGGAUUUAAAAACAAGAGCUGACGUCAUCGCAAAAGGAUGGUGAAGAACCGCCUCCCCAAAAAACUAAGAUCAGCCAUUGGAUCAUUGACCCGGAAGCGUAGUCACGUGGUCUAAAAAUAAAAGUAGGCGGAGACUCGGCCGCCCCCACCAUUUUGCCCAGCUGCUCGACGAGAGAGAAAAACAUCUCCUUAGCCGCUGAAGCCAACAUAAACAGUAAGACGGUUAAUUAACCACUUCACUAAUAAUAAUUAUUCGCUUCUUUACUUAUUUUUCAUGGUGCCCAAGCCUGAGGAAGACCCUAGAAGGUCGAAACGUCGCGACGGGCACUUUAUAGCGCUUCCUUUUUUUUCCUUUUUUUCUCCGUUUGGAAAUGACCUCAUUUGGUUACUUCUCGCCACUAGAGGGCAAUACAGCCCCGUACAUUACACAGGACACACAUAGGCCAAGAAGGGCACUCACACAAAAAGACAACACGUCGUUCUUUCUCUCUCUUUUUUCUUUCUUUAAUCAAAAACCAAGACUAAGAAAAGUGGAUAACAGUAAUAAAAAUAAGAAUACAUUUAUAGAAAAGAAAAACACAAAACAGCCUAAACAAAGGAGGUGACUCAAAAAAAGCAAAAACGUGCUGAAUAAAUAAAUAAAUAAAUAAACAACAAACCAAAAACAGCGUAAACAAAGGAGGUGACUCAAAAAAAAGCAAAAACGUGCCGAAUAAACAAGUCAAUAAACAACAAACCAAGCUUGGGAAUGAUGAAAGGACAAGUGGUUCGCUGUGGGCGAAGACACGCCCGGACUGACCCUAAAGCCAAGAGGUGCAGAUUCGGGGACCAACCGCCUCGGCACCGGGAGGGACGAGAACACUGGGGGAUGGACUGUGCAUUACCUCCUCCCAACAUAACGGGAGGAGAGAUCUUAUCGCUCGCCCUAACCAGCCCGUGCCUCUCCUGGUGUCCACGUUCUCGUUCUGACCGGUCCGGGGCCCGGUUUGGUCCCCCACUCCGCUCUGAUUCGUCGGUAGUCCAAACUGGACGCCCUAAAAAUAACAAAACACAUGGUGGAGAAUUCAACCUCCUAGACAAUUUAUAUCACCGAGUCCGAAUGCGCAGAACUUAUGCAGUCGUAGAAUCGGUGCAUCACCUCCAAAAUAGGGUACCGUAGAGCCCAAAAUGAGGACUAAAAUAAAGGAUGGACAACUUAUCCAGCAUGGUCAAACCAGCGUUUCCAAGAGGAGAAACGCUGGGUCGGAUCAUGGACAAUGCCAAAGGUUGGGGAACCGGGACGGAAGCCCAGCAGACCGACAGGAGGCUGAGUCGGCGAUCGCAACACCCGCAUCGGAAUCGACCGCGAGGGACGAGGAGAACACAAAUACAGUGACCUCGCUGCCAGUCUCAAAACCAGCUUCAGCUGCACAGCAGCAGGACAUCACGACGGCUGCGCCGACAUCGGAGGCCUCUCCCUCCACUGCCGCGAGGGGGGAUGGGAGUCCCCGAUCCGGUGCAACCCAGGACAACCCAACCACCGCCACAGUGGACUUUGACCCGCAAUAGACGGGGGAUGACAGCUACGGAAAAGACUGAGACGAUUGGAAUUGCCAGGUGAGAGCCCUCACGCAAAAAAACAUUGACUCCUACCUUUUUCGUUCCUUAAAGGGAUGCUACCCGAGCCAAGCCACGACAACCAAUCCUCAAAAAAAGUCCAAAGACAUUUGAGAAAGAAACAGUCUAACAACUAAUCCUAAACCUCUUCCUAAACUUAACCAAUCUCGAGUAUGAGCCCUAACCAUAAUCUUGGUCCCAGCGCCGAUUUUAGGCCUUUGUCGAAGCUUAAUCAGCAAAUAACAACUUACUCUAACCUCUUCCUAAACUUAACCAAUUCAAAAAUGGACUAUCUCAAACUGAGGGUCCUAACCCUAAAAUUGAUCUACGCCAGUUAAAUUACUGGGGGAUGGCCGUGGGGAUCCGGGAGGAAGGUGACCGGGCUCAAGGCCCAUCGGGGUCCCUCUCAUGCUCACAUGCUCGGCCCAUAGCCCUCUAGCCCCAACCGCUGCCCCUGAACGCUUUUUCGCUACAUAUUAUCGCAAGCUAAGACCUAGACCUCAGUGGAAGAGUCAAAGACGGGCACUUGCAGGGAGUCGGUGCUGGUAGUCCGAAGGCCAUCCAAGCGGGAUGUAGUUGCCGGACCAGACCGUGAAAUUUAAUUGGAUAUUAGAUCAGGCGAACAGGACCAGUAUGGAGGGUGUUGUUGGUUGUGGGUUGGGUCAAGGAAGAAGGGGGUAGAGGGGGUUUCCCGCUGGCUCCUUUGUGGUCCGGACACCUCACCCUUCCCAGGACCUAACCAUAACCACUCGCCCCGGGAACUUAUGCAGUCGUAGAAUCGGUGCAUCACCUCCAAAAUAGGGUACCGUAGAGCCCAAAAUGAGGACUAAAAUAAGGGAUGGACAACUUAUCCAGCAUGGUCAAACCAGCGUUUCCAAGAGGAGAAACGCUGGGUCGGAUAAACUUAACCAAUUUGAAAAUGGACUAUCUCAAACCGAGGGUCCUAAUCCUAAAAUUGAUAUUUGGAAUACUUACCUGUUUGGAUUUAAAAACAAGAGCUGACGUCAUCGCAAAAGGAUGGUGAAGAACCGCCUCCCCAAAAAACUAAGAUCAGCCAUUGGAUCAUUGACCCGGAAGCGUAGUCACGUGGUCUAAAAAUAAAAGUAGGCGGAGACUCGGCCGCCCCCACCAUUUUGCCCAGCUGCUCGACGAGAGAGAAAAACAUCUCCUUAGCCGCUGAAGCCAACAUAAACAGUAAGACGGUUAAUUAACCACUUCACUAAUAAUAAUUAUUCGCUUCUUUACUUAUUUUUCAUGGUGCCCAAGCCUGAGGAAGACCCUAGAAGGUCGAAACGUCGCGACGGGCACUUUAUAGCGCUUCCUUUUUUUUCCUUUUUUUCUCCGUUUGGAAAUGACCUCAUUUGGUUACUUCUCGCCACUAGAGGGCAAUACAGCCCCGUACAUUACACAGGACACACAUAGGCCAAGAAGGGCACUCACACAAAAAGACAACACGUCGUUCUUUCUCUCUCUUUUUUCUUUCUUUAAUCAAAAACCAAGACUAAGAAAAGUGGAUAACAGUAAUAAAAAUAAGAAUACAUUUAUAGAAAAGAAAAACACAAAACAGCCUAAACAAAGGAGGUGACUCAAAAAAAGCAAAAACGUGCUGAAUAAAUAAAUAAAUAAAUAAACAACAAACCAAAAACAGCGUAAACAAAGGAGGUGACUCAAAAAAAAGCAAAAACGUGCCGAAUAAACAAGUCAAUAAACAACAAACCAAGCUUGGGAAUGAUGAAAGGACAAGUGGUUCGCUGUGGGCGAAGACACGCCCGGACUGACCCUAAAGCCAAGAGGUGCAGAUUCGGGGACCAACCGCCUCGGCACCGGGAGGGACGAGAACACUGGGGGAUGGACUGUGCAUUACCUCCUCCCAACAUAACGGGAGGAGAGAUCUUAUCGCUCGCCCUAACCAGCCCGUGCCUCUCCUGGUGUCCACGUUCUCGUUCUGACCGGUCCGGGGCCCGGUUUGGUCCCCCACUCCGCUCUGAUUCGUCGGUAGUCCAAACUGGACGCCCUAAAAAUAACAAAACACAUGGUGGAGAAUUCAACCUCCUAGACAAUUUAUAUCACCGAGUCCGAAUGCGCAGAACUUAUGCAGUCGUAGAAUCGGUGCAUCACCUCCAAAAUAGGGUACCGUAGAGCCCAAAAUGAGGACUAAAAUAAAGGAUGGACAACUUAUCCAGCAUGGUCAAACCAGCGUUUCCAAGAGGAGAAACGCUGGGUCGGAUCAUGGACAAUGCCAAAGGUUGGGGAACCGGGACGGAAGCCCAGCAGACCGACAGGAGGCUGAGUCGGCGAUCGCAACACCCGCAUCGGAAUCGACCGCGAGGGACGAGGAGAACACAAAUACAGUGACCUCGCUGCCAGUCUCAAAACCAGCUUCAGCUGCACAGCAGCAGGACAUCACGACGGCUGCGCCGACAUCGGAGGCCUCUCCCUCCACUGCCGCGAGGGGGGAUGGGAGUCCCCGAUCCGGUGCAACCCAGGACAACCCAACCACCGCCACAGUGGACUUUGACCCGCAAUAGACGGGGGAUGACAGCUACGGAAAAGACUGAGACGAUUGGAAUUGCCAGGUGAGAGCCCUCACGCAAAAAAACAUUGACUCCUACCUUUUUCGUUCCUUAAAGGGAUGCUACCCGAGCCAAGCCACGACAACCAAUCCUCAAAAAAAGUCCAAAGACAUUUGAGAAAGAAACAGUCUAACAACUAAUCCUAAACCUCUUCCUAAACUUAACCAAUCUCGAGUAUGAGCCCUAACCAUAAUCUUGGUCCCAGCGCCGAUUUUAGGCCUUUGUCGAAGCUUAAUCAGCAAAUAACAACUUACUCUAACCUCUUCCUAAACUUAACCAAUUCAAAAAUGGACUAUCUCAAACUGAGGGUCCUAACCCUAAAAUUGAUCUACGCCAGUUAAAUUACUGGGGGAUGGCCGUGGGGAUCCGGGAGGAAGGUGACCGGGCUCAAGGCCCAUCGGGGUCCCUCUCAUGCUCACAUGCUCGGCCCAUAGCCCUCUAGCCCCAACCGCUGCCCCUGAACGCUUUUUCGCUACAUAUUAUCGCAAGCUAAGACCUAGACCUCAGUGGAAGAGUCAAAGACGGGCACUUGCAGGGAGUCGGUGCUGGUAGUCCGAAGGCCAUCCAAGCGGGAUGUAGUUGCCGGACCAGACCGUGAAAUUUAAUUGGAUAUUAGAUCAGGCGAACAGGACCAGUAUGGAGGGUGUUGUUGGUUGUGGGUUGGGUCAAGGAAGAAGGGGGUAGAGGGGGUUUCCCGCUGGCUCCUUUGUGGUCCGGACACCUCACCCUUCCCAGGACCUAACCAUAACCACUCGCCCCGGGAACUUAUGCAGUCGUAGAAUCGGUGCAUCACCUCCAAAAUAGGGUACCGUAGAGCCCAAAAUGAGGACUAAAAUAAGGGAUGGACAACUUAUCCAGCAUGGUCAAACCAGCGUUUCCAAGAGGAGAAACGCUGGGUCGGAUAAACUUAACCAAUUUGAAAAUGGACUAUCUCAAACCGAGGGUCCUAAUCCUAAAAUUGAUAUUUGGAAUACUUACCUGUUUGGAUUUAAAAACAAGAGCUGACGUCAUCGCAAAAGGAUGGUGAAGAACCGCCUCCCCAAAAAACUAAGAUCAGCCAUUGGAUCAUUGACCCGGAAGCGUAGUCACGUGGUCUAAAAAUAAAAGUAGGCGGAGACUCGGCCGCCCCCACCAUUUUGCCCAGCUGCUCGACGAGAGAGAAAAACAUCUCCUUAGCCGCUGAAGCCAACAUAAACAGUAAGACGGUUAAUUAACCACUUCACUAAUAAUAAUUAUUCGCUUCUUUACUUAUUUUUCAUGGUGCCCAAGCCUGAGGAAGACCCUAGAAGGUCGAAACGUCGCGACGGGCACUUUAUAGCGCUUCCUUUUUUUUCCUUUUUUUCUCCGUUUGGAAAUGACCUCAUUUGGUUACUUCUCGCCACUAGAGGGCAAUACAGCCCCGUACAUUACACAGGACACACAUAGGCCAAGAAGGGCACUCACACAAAAAGACAACACGUCGUUCUUUCUCUCUCUUUUUUCUUUCUUUAAUCAAAAACCAAGACUAAGAAAAGUGGAUAACAGUAAUAAAAAUAAGAAUACAUUUAUAGAAAAGAAAAACACAAAACAGCCUAAACAAAGGAGGUGACUCAAAAAAAGCAAAAACGUGCUGAAUAAAUAAAUAAAUAAAUAAACAACAAACCAAAAACAGCGUAAACAAAGGAGGUGACUCAAAAAAAAGCAAAAACGUGCCGAAUAAACAAGUCAAUAAACAACAAACCAAGCUUGGGAAUGAUGAAAGGACAAGUGGUUCGCUGUGGGCGAAGACACGCCCGGACUGACCCUAAAGCCAAGAGGUGCAGAUUCGGGGACCAACCGCCUCGGCACCGGGAGGGACGAGAACACUGGGGGAUGGACUGUGCAUUACCUCCUCCCAACAUAACGGGAGGAGAGAUCUUAUCGCUCGCCCUAACCAGCCCGUGCCUCUCCUGGUGUCCACGUUCUCGUUCUGACCGGUCCGGGGCCCGGUUUGGUCCCCCACUCCGCUCUGAUUCGUCGGUAGUCCAAACUGGACGCCCUAAAAAUAACAAAACACAUGGUGGAGAAUUCAACCUCCUAGACAAUUUAUAUCACCGAGUCCGAAUGCGCAGAACUUAUGCAGUCGUAGAAUCGGUGCAUCACCUCCAAAAUAGGGUACCGUAGAGCCCAAAAUGAGGACUAAAAUAAAGGAUGGACAACUUAUCCAGCAUGGUCAAACCAGCGUUUCCAAGAGGAGAAACGCUGGGUCGGAUCAUGGACAAUGCCAAAGGUUGGGGAACCGGGACGGAAGCCCAGCAGACCGACAGGAGGCUGAGUCGGCGAUCGCAACACCCGCAUCGGAAUCGACCGCGAGGGACGAGGAGAACACAAAUACAGUGACCUCGCUGCCAGUCUCAAAACCAGCUUCAGCUGCACAGCAGCAGGACAUCACGACGGCUGCGCCGACAUCGGAGGCCUCUCCCUCCACUGCCGCGAGGGGGGAUGGGAGUCCCCGAUCCGGUGCAACCCAGGACAACCCAACCACCGCCACAGUGGACUUUGACCCGCAAUAGACGGGGGAUGACAGCUACGGAAAAGACUGAGACGAUUGGAAUUGCCAGGUGAGAGCCCUCACGCAAAAAAACAUUGACUCCUACCUUUUUCGUUCCUUAAAGGGAUGCUACCCGAGCCAAGCCACGACAACCAAUCCUCAAAAAAAGUCCAAAGACAUUUGAGAAAGAAACAGUCUAACAACUAAUCCUAAACCUCUUCCUAAACUUAACCAAUCUCGAGUAUGAGCCCUAACCAUAAUCUUGGUCCCAGCGCCGAUUUUAGGCCUUUGUCGAAGCUUAAUCAGCAAAUAACAACUUACUCUAACCUCUUCCUAAACUUAACCAAUUCAAAAAUGGACUAUCUCAAACUGAGGGUCCUAACCCUAAAAUUGAUCUACGCCAGUUAAAUUACUGGGGGAUGGCCGUGGGGAUCCGGGAGGAAGGUGACCGGGCUCAAGGCCCAUCGGGGUCCCUCUCAUGCUCACAUGCUCGGCCCAUAGCCCUCUAGCCCCAACCGCUGCCCCUGAACGCUUUUUCGCUACAUAUUAUCGCAAGCUAAGACCUAGACCUCAGUGGAAGAGUCAAAGACGGGCACUUGCAGGGAGUCGGUGCUGGUAGUCCGAAGGCCAUCCAAGCGGGAUGUAGUUGCCGGACCAGACCGUGAAAUUUAAUUGGAUAUUAGAUCAGGCGAACAGGACCAGUAUGGAGGGUGUUGUUGGUUGUGGGUUGGGUCAAGGAAGAAGGGGGUAGAGGGGGUUUCCCGCUGGCUCCUUUGUGGUCCGGACACCUCACCCUUCCCAGGACCUAACCAUAACCACUCGCCCCGGGAACUUAUGCAGUCGUAGAAUCGGUGCAUCACCUCCAAAAUAGGGUACCGUAGAGCCCAAAAUGAGGACUAAAAUAAGGGAUGGACAACUUAUCCAGCAUGGUCAAACCAGCGUUUCCAAGAGGAGAAACGCUGGGUCGGAUAAACUUAACCAAUUUGAAAAUGGACUAUCUCAAACCGAGGGUCCUAAUCCUAAAAUUGAUAUUUGGAAUACUUACCUGUUUGGAUUUAAAAACAAGAGCUGACGUCAUCGCAAAAGGAUGGUGAAGAACCGCCUCCCCAAAAAACUAAGAUCAGCCAUUGGAUCAUUGACCCGGAAGCGUAGUCACGUGGUCUAAAAAUAAAAGUAGGCGGAGACUCGGCCGCCCCCACCAUUUUGCCCAGCUGCUCGACGAGAGAGAAAAACAUCUCCUUAGCCGCUGAAGCCAACAUAAACAGUAAGACGGUUAAUUAACCACUUCACUAAUAAUAAUUAUUCGCUUCUUUACUUAUUUUUCAUGGUGCCCAAGCCUGAGGAAGACCCUAGAAGGUCGAAACGUCGCGACGGGCACUUUAUAGCGCUUCCUUUUUUUUCCUUUUUUUCUCCGUUUGGAAAUGACCUCAUUUGGUUACUUCUCGCCACUAGAGGGCAAUACAGCCCCGUACAUUACACAGGACACACAUAGGCCAAGAAGGGCACUCACACAAAAAGACAACACGUCGUUCUUUCUCUCUCUUUUUUCUUUCUUUAAUCAAAAACCAAGACUAAGAAAAGUGGAUAACAGUAAUAAAAAUAAGAAUACAUUUAUAGAAAAGAAAAACACAAAACAGCCUAAACAAAGGAGGUGACUCAAAAAAAGCAAAAACGUGCUGAAUAAAUAAAUAAAUAAAUAAACAACAAACCAAAAACAGCGUAAACAAAGGAGGUGACUCAAAAAAAAGCAAAAACGUGCCGAAUAAACAAGUCAAUAAACAACAAACCAAGCUUGGGAAUGAUGAAAGGACAAGUGGUUCGCUGUGGGCGAAGACACGCCCGGACUGACCCUAAAGCCAAGAGGUGCAGAUUCGGGGACCAACCGCCUCGGCACCGGGAGGGACGAGAACACUGGGGGAUGGACUGUGCAUUACCUCCUCCCAACAUAACGGGAGGAGAGAUCUUAUCGCUCGCCCUAACCAGCCCGUGCCUCUCCUGGUGUCCACGUUCUCGUUCUGACCGGUCCGGGGCCCGGUUUGGUCCCCCACUCCGCUCUGAUUCGUCGGUAGUCCAAACUGGACGCCCUAAAAAUAACAAAACACAUGGUGGAGAAUUCAACCUCCUAGACAAUUUAUAUCACCGAGUCCGAAUGCGCAGAACUUAUGCAGUCGUAGAAUCGGUGCAUCACCUCCAAAAUAGGGUACCGUAGAGCCCAAAAUGAGGACUAAAAUAAAGGAUGGACAACUUAUCCAGCAUGGUCAAACCAGCGUUUCCAAGAGGAGAAACGCUGGGUCGGAUCAUGGACAAUGCCAAAGGUUGGGGAACCGGGACGGAAGCCCAGCAGACCGACAGGAGGCUGAGUCGGCGAUCGCAACACCCGCAUCGGAAUCGACCGCGAGGGACGAGGAGAACACAAAUACAGUGACCUCGCUGCCAGUCUCAAAACCAGCUUCAGCUGCACAGCAGCAGGACAUCACGACGGCUGCGCCGACAUCGGAGGCCUCUCCCUCCACUGCCGCGAGGGGGGAUGGGAGUCCCCGAUCCGGUGCAACCCAGGACAACCCAACCACCGCCACAGUGGACUUUGACCCGCAAUAGACGGGGGAUGACAGCUACGGAAAAGACUGAGACGAUUGGAAUUGCCAGGUGAGAGCCCUCACGCAAAAAAACAUUGACUCCUACCUUUUUCGUUCCUUAAAGGGAUGCUACCCGAGCCAAGCCACGACAACCAAUCCUCAAAAAAAGUCCAAAGACAUUUGAGAAAGAAACAGUCUAACAACUAAUCCUAAACCUCUUCCUAAACUUAACCAAUCUCGAGUAUGAGCCCUAACCAUAAUCUUGGUCCCAGCGCCGAUUUUAGGCCUUUGUCGAAGCUUAAUCAGCAAAUAACAACUUACUCUAACCUCUUCCUAAACUUAACCAAUUCAAAAAUGGACUAUCUCAAACUGAGGGUCCUAACCCUAAAAUUGAUCUACGCCAGUUAAAUUACUGGGGGAUGGCCGUGGGGAUCCGGGAGGAAGGUGACCGGGCUCAAGGCCCAUCGGGGUCCCUCUCAUGCUCACAUGCUCGGCCCAUAGCCCUCUAGCCCCAACCGCUGCCCCUGAACGCUUUUUCGCUACAUAUUAUCGCAAGCUAAGACCUAGACCUCAGUGGAAGAGUCAAAGACGGGCACUUGCAGGGAGUCGGUGCUGGUAGUCCGAAGGCCAUCCAAGCGGGAUGUAGUUGCCGGACCAGACCGUGAAAUUUAAUUGGAUAUUAGAUCAGGCGAACAGGACCAGUAUGGAGGGUGUUGUUGGUUGUGGGUUGGGUCAAGGAAGAAGGGGGUAGAGGGGGUUUCCCGCUGGCUCCUUUGUGGUCCGGACACCUCACCCUUCCCAGGACCUAACCAUAACCACUCGCCCCGGGAACUUAUGCAGUCGUAGAAUCGGUGCAUCACCUCCAAAAUAGGGUACCGUAGAGCCCAAAAUGAGGACUAAAAUAAGGGAUGGACAACUUAUCCAGCAUGGUCAAACCAGCGUUUCCAAGAGGAGAAACGCUGGGUCGGAUAAACUUAACCAAUUUGAAAAUGGACUAUCUCAAACCGAGGGUCCUAAUCCUAAAAUUGAUAUUUGGAAUACUUACCUGUUUGGAUUUAAAAACAAGAGCUGACGUCAUCGCAAAAGGAUGGUGAAGAACCGCCUCCCCAAAAAACUAAGAUCAGCCAUUGGAUCAUUGACCCGGAAGCGUAGUCACGUGGUCUAAAAAUAAAAGUAGGCGGAGACUCGGCCGCCCCCACCAUUUUGCCCAGCUGCUCGACGAGAGAGAAAAACAUCUCCUUAGCCGCUGAAGCCAACAUAAACAGUAAGACGGUUAAUUAACCACUUCACUAAUAAUAAUUAUUCGCUUCUUUACUUAUUUUUCAUGGUGCCCAAGCCUGAGGAAGACCCUAGAAGGUCGAAACGUCGCGACGGGCACUUUAUAGCGCUUCCUUUUUUUUCCUUUUUUUCUCCGUUUGGAAAUGACCUCAUUUGGUUACUUCUCGCCACUAGAGGGCAAUACAGCCCCGUACAUUACACAGGACACACAUAGGCCAAGAAGGGCACUCACACAAAAAGACAACACGUCGUUCUUUCUCUCUCUUUUUUCUUUCUUUAAUCAAAAACCAAGACUAAGAAAAGUGGAUAACAGUAAUAAAAAUAAGAAUACAUUUAUAGAAAAGAAAAACACAAAACAGCCUAAACAAAGGAGGUGACUCAAAAAAAGCAAAAACGUGCUGAAUAAAUAAAUAAAUAAAUAAACAACAAACCAAAAACAGCGUAAACAAAGGAGGUGACUCAAAAAAAAGCAAAAACGUGCCGAAUAAACAAGUCAAUAAACAACAAACCAAGCUUGGGAAUGAUGAAAGGACAAGUGGUUCGCUGUGGGCGAAGACACGCCCGGACUGACCCUAAAGCCAAGAGGUGCAGAUUCGGGGACCAACCGCCUCGGCACCGGGAGGGACGAGAACACUGGGGGAUGGACUGUGCAUUACCUCCUCCCAACAUAACGGGAGGAGAGAUCUUAUCGCUCGCCCUAACCAGCCCGUGCCUCUCCUGGUGUCCACGUUCUCGUUCUGACCGGUCCGGGGCCCGGUUUGGUCCCCCACUCCGCUCUGAUUCGUCGGUAGUCCAAACUGGACGCCCUAAAAAUAACAAAACACAUGGUGGAGAAUUCAACCUCCUAGACAAUUUAUAUCACCGAGUCCGAAUGCGCAGAACUUAUGCAGUCGUAGAAUCGGUGCAUCACCUCCAAAAUAGGGUACCGUAGAGCCCAAAAUGAGGACUAAAAUAAAGGAUGGACAACUUAUCCAGCAUGGUCAAACCAGCGUUUCCAAGAGGAGAAACGCUGGGUCGGAUCAUGGACAAUGCCAAAGGUUGGGGAACCGGGACGGAAGCCCAGCAGACCGACAGGAGGCUGAGUCGGCGAUCGCAACACCCGCAUCGGAAUCGACCGCGAGGGACGAGGAGAACACAAAUACAGUGACCUCGCUGCCAGUCUCAAAACCAGCUUCAGCUGCACAGCAGCAGGACAUCACGACGGCUGCGCCGACAUCGGAGGCCUCUCCCUCCACUGCCGCGAGGGGGGAUGGGAGUCCCCGAUCCGGUGCAACCCAGGACAACCCAACCACCGCCACAGUGGACUUUGACCCGCAAUAGACGGGGGAUGACAGCUACGGAAAAGACUGAGACGAUUGGAAUUGCCAGCAUGGUCAAACCAGCGUUUCCAAGAGGAGAAACGCUGGGUCGGAUCAUGGACAAUGCCAAAGGUUGGGGAACCGGGACGGAAGCCCAGCAGACCGACAGGAGGCUGAGUCGGCGAUCGCAACACCCGCAUCGGAAUCGACCGCGAGGGACGAGGAGAACACAAAUACAGUGACCUCGCUGCCAGUCUCAAAACCAGCUUCAGCUGCACAGCAGCAGGACAUCACGACGGCUGCGCCGACAUCGGAGGCCUCUCCCUCCACUGCCGCGAGGGGGGAUGGGAGUCCCCGAUCCGGUGCAACCCAGGACAACCCAACCACCGCCACAGUGGACUUUGACCCGCAAUAGACGGGGGAUGACAGCUACGGAAAAGACUGAGACGAUUGGAAUUGCCAGGUGAGAGCCCUCACGCAAAAAAACAUUGACUCCUACCUUUUUCGUUCCUUAAAGGGAUGCUACCCGAGCCAAGCCACGACAACCAAUCCUCAAAAAAAGUCCAAAGACAUUUGAGAAAGAAACAGUCUAACAACUAAUCCUAAACCUCUUCCUAAACUUAACCAAUCUCGAGUAUGAGCCCUAACCAUAAUCUUGGUCCCAGCGCCGAUUUUAGGCCUUUGUCGAAGCUUAAUCAGCAAAUAACAACUUACUCUAACCUCUUCCUAAACUUAACCAAUUCAAAAAUGGACUAUCUCAAACUGAGGGUCCUAACCCUAAAAUUGAUCUACGCCAGUUAAAUUACUGGGGGAUGGCCGUGGGGAUCCGGGAGGAAGGUGACCGGGCUCAAGGCCCAUCGGGGUCCCUCUCAUGCUCACAUGCUCGGCCCAUAGCCCUCUAGCCCCAACCGCUGCCCCUGAACGCUUUUUCGCUACAUAUUAUCGCAAGCUAAGACCUAGACCUCAGUGGAAGAGUCAAAGACGGGCACUUGCAGGGAGUCGGUGCUGGUAGUCCGAAGGCCAUCCAAGCGGGAUGUAGUUGCCGGACCAGACCGUGAAAUUUAAUUGGAUAUUAGAUCAGGCGAACAGGACCAGUAUGGAGGGUGUUGUUGGUUGUGGGUUGGGUCAAGGAAGAAGGGGGUAGAGGGGGUUUCCCGCUGGCUCCUUUGUGGUCCGGACACCUCACCCUUCCCAGGACCUAACCAUAACCACUCGCCCCGGGAACUUAUGCAGUCGUAGAAUCGGUGCAUCACCUCCAAAAUAGGGUACCGUAGAGCCCAAAAUGAGGACUAAAAUAAGGGAUGGACAACUUAUCCAGCAUGGUCAAACCAGCGUUUCCAAGAGGAGAAACGCUGGGUCGGAUAAACUUAACCAAUUUGAAAAUGGACUAUCUCAAACCGAGGGUCCUAAUCCUAAAAUUGAUAUUUGGAAUACUUACCUGUUUGGAUUUAAAAACAAGAGCUGACGUCAUCGCAAAAGGAUGGUGAAGAACCGCCUCCCCAAAAAACUAAGAUCAGCCAUUGGAUCAUUGACCCGGAAGCGUAGUCACGUGGUCUAAAAAUAAAAGUAGGCGGAGACUCGGCCGCCCCCACCAUUUUGCCCAGCUGCUCGACGAGAGAGAAAAACAUCUCCUUAGCCGCUGAAGCCAACAUAAACAGUAAGACGGUUAAUUAACCACUUCACUAAUAAUAAUUAUUCGCUUCUUUACUUAUUUUUCAUGGUGCCCAAGCCUGAGGAAGACCCUAGAAGGUCGAAACGUCGCGACGGGCACUUUAUAGCGCUUCCUUUUUUUUCCUUUUUUUCUCCGUUUGGAAAUGACCUCAUUUGGUUACUUCUCGCCACUAGAGGGCAAUACAGCCCCGUACAUUACACAGGACACACAUAGGCCAAGAAGGGCACUCACACAAAAAGACAACACGUCGUUCUUUCUCUCUCUUUUUUCUUUCUUUAAUCAAAAACCAAGACUAAGAAAAGUGGAUAACAGUAAUAAAAAUAAGAAUACAUUUAUAGAAAAGAAAAACACAAAACAGCCUAAACAAAGGAGGUGACUCAAAAAAAGCAAAAACGUGCUGAAUAAAUAAAUAAAUAAAUAAACAACAAACCAAAAACAGCGUAAACAAAGGAGGUGACUCAAAAAAAAGCAAAAACGUGCCGAAUAAACAAGUCAAUAAACAACAAACCAAGCUUGGGAAUGAUGAAAGGACAAGUGGUUCGCUGUGGGCGAAGACACGCCCGGACUGACCCUAAAGCCAAGAGGUGCAGAUUCGGGGACCAACCGCCUCGGCACCGGGAGGGACGAGAACACUGGGGGAUGGACUGUGCAUUACCUCCUCCCAACAUAACGGGAGGAGAGAUCUUAUCGCUCGCCCUAACCAGCCCGUGCCUCUCCUGGUGUCCACGUUCUCGUUCUGACCGGUCCGGGGCCCGGUUUGGUCCCCCACUCCGCUCUGAUUCGUCGGUAGUCCAAACUGGACGCCCUAAAAAUAACAAAACACAUGGUGGAGAAUUCAACCUCCUAGACAAUUUAUAUCACCGAGUCCGAAUGCGCAGAACUUAUGCAGUCGUAGAAUCGGUGCAUCACCUCCAAAAUAGGGUACCGUAGAGCCCAAAAUGAGGACUAAAAUAAAGGAUGGACAACUUAUCCAGCAUGGUCAAACCAGCGUUUCCAAGAGGAGAAACGCUGGGUCGGAUCAUGGACAAUGCCAAAGGUUGGGGAACCGGGACGGAAGCCCAGCAGACCGACAGGAGGCUGAGUCGGCGAUCGCAACACCCGCAUCGGAAUCGACCGCGAGGGACGAGGAGAACACAAAUACAGUGACCUCGCUGCCAGUCUCAAAACCAGCUUCAGCUGCACAGCAGCAGGACAUCACGACGGCUGCGCCGACAUCGGAGGCCUCUCCCUCCACUGCCGCGAGGGGGGAUGGGAGUCCCCGAUCCGGUGCAACCCAGGACAACCCAACCACCGCCACAGUGGACUUUGACCCGCAAUAGACGGGGGAUGACAGCUACGGAAAAGACUGAGACGAUUGGAAUUGCCAGGUGAGAGCCCUCACGCAAAAAAACAUUGACUCCUACCUUUUUCGUUCCUUAAAGGGAUGCUACCCGAGCCAAGCCACGACAACCAAUCCUCAAAAAAAGUCCAAAGACAUUUGAGAAAGAAACAGUCUAACAACUAAUCCUAAACCUCUUCCUAAACUUAACCAAUCUCGAGUAUGAGCCCUAACCAUAAUCUUGGUCCCAGCGCCGAUUUUAGGCCUUUGUCGAAGCUUAAUCAGCAAAUAACAACUUACUCUAACCUCUUCCUAAACUUAACCAAUUCAAAAAUGGACUAUCUCAAACUGAGGGUCCUAACCCUAAAAUUGAUCUACGCCAGUUAAAUUACUGGGGGAUGGCCGUGGGGAUCCGGGAGGAAGGUGACCGGGCUCAAGGCCCAUCGGGGUCCCUCUCAUGCUCACAUGCUCGGCCCAUAGCCCUCUAGCCCCAACCGCUGCCCCUGAACGCUUUUUCGCUACAUAUUAUCGCAAGCUAAGACCUAGACCUCAGUGGAAGAGUCAAAGACGGGCACUUGCAGGGAGUCGGUGCUGGUAGUCCGAAGGCCAUCCAAGCGGGAUGUAGUUGCCGGACCAGACCGUGAAAUUUAAUUGGAUAUUAGAUCAGGCGAACAGGACCAGUAUGGAGGGUGUUGUUGGUUGUGGGUUGGGUCAAGGAAGAAGGGGGUAGAGGGGGUUUCCCGCUGGCUCCUUUGUGGUCCGGACACCUCACCCUUCCCAGGACCUAACCAUAACCACUCGCCCCGGGAACUUAUGCAGUCGUAGAAUCGGUGCAUCACCUCCAAAAUAGGGUACCGUAGAGCCCAAAAUGAGGACUAAAAUAAGGGAUGGACAACUUAUCCAGCAUGGUCAAACCAGCGUUUCCAAGAGGAGAAACGCUGGGUCGGAUAAACUUAACCAAUUUGAAAAUGGACUAUCUCAAACCGAGGGUCCUAAUCCUAAAAUUGAUAUUUGGAAUACUUACCUGUUUGGAUUUAAAAACAAGAGCUGACGUCAUCGCAAAAGGAUGGUGAAGAACCGCCUCCCCAAAAAACUAAGAUCAGCCAUUGGAUCAUUGACCCGGAAGCGUAGUCACGUGGUCUAAAAAUAAAAGUAGGCGGAGACUCGGCCGCCCCCACCAUUUUGCCCAGCUGCUCGACGAGAGAGAAAAACAUCUCCUUAGCCGCUGAAGCCAACAUAAACAGUAAGACGGUUAAUUAACCACUUCACUAAUAAUAAUUAUUCGCUUCUUUACUUAUUUUUCAUGGUGCCCAAGCCUGAGGAAGACCCUAGAAGGUCGAAACGUCGCGACGGGCACUUUAUAGCGCUUCCUUUUUUUUCCUUUUUUUCUCCGUUUGGAAAUGACCUCAUUUGGUUACUUCUCGCCACUAGAGGGCAAUACAGCCCCGUACAUUACACAGGACACACAUAGGCCAAGAAGGGCACUCACACAAAAAGACAACACGUCGUUCUUUCUCUCUCUUUUUUCUUUCUUUAAUCAAAAACCAAGACUAAGAAAAGUGGAUAACAGUAAUAAAAAUAAGAAUACAUUUAUAGAAAAGAAAAACACAAAACAGCCUAAACAAAGGAGGUGACUCAAAAAAAGCAAAAACGUGCUGAAUAAAUAAAUAAAUAAAUAAACAACAAACCAAAAACAGCGUAAACAAAGGAGGUGACUCAAAAAAAAGCAAAAACGUGCCGAAUAAACAAGUCAAUAAACAACAAACCAAGCUUGGGAAUGAUGAAAGGACAAGUGGUUCGCUGUGGGCGAAGACACGCCCGGACUGACCCUAAAG